rnacentral:rRNA from 1 species
CCAAAUGGGGCAGCCUACACAUGCAAGUCGAGCGAGCUCUUCGGAGCUAGCGGCGGACGGGUUAGUAACGCGUGGGAACGUGCCCUUCACUGCGGAAUAGCCACUGGAAACGGUGAGUAAUACCGCAUACGCCCUUCGGGGGAAAGAUUUAUCGGUGAAGGAUCGGCCCGCGUUAGAUUAGAUAGUUGGUGGGGUAACGGCCUACCAAGUCUACGAUCUAUAGCUGGUUUUAGAGGAUGAUCAGCAACACUGGGACUGAGACACGGCCCAGACUCCUACGGGAGGCAGCAGUGGGGAAUCUUGGACAAUGGGCGCAAGCCUGAUCCAGCCAUGCCGCGUGAGUGAUGAAGGCCUUAGGGUCGUAAAGCUCUUUCGCCAGAGAUGAUAAUGACAGUAUCUGGUAAAGAAACCCCGGCUAACUCCGUGCCAGCAGCCGCGGUAAUACGGAGGGGGUUAGCGUUGUUCGGAAUUACUGGGCGUAAAGCGCACGUAGGCGGAUCAGAAAGUUGGGGGUGAAAUCCCGGGGCUCAACCCCGGAACUGCCUCCAAAACUCCUGGUCUUGAGUUCGAGAGAGGUGAGUGGAAUUCCGAGUGUAGAGGUGAAAUUCGUAGAUAUUCGGAGGAACACCAGUGGCGAAGGCGGCUCACUGGCUCGAUACU